rnacentral:lncRNA from 10 species
CUGGGUGGACAUAUGUUUUGGGGGCCUCUAUUCCAAUCUGCAACAGGAGGUGACUUCCUUGGGUGUGCUUGUCCACUCCUUAAGUCCCCAGUGUCCGGUCCAGAGCUGGUCACAGUGGCCCAGGAGCUGGGCAGACAUAAGGGGUGAGCCUGUUUCUGGAGAAGCCCCAUGUCCCACCAGUACCAGAGGCAGAAUGUGAAGACUGGGAGCAUGGGGCGGGAGAGUAACAAAGGCAGGUGGGAGGGGCUGCUCUGGGAACAGAGGGGAGGACGGGGACAGAGAUGAGGAGGCUUCCCUCCUAGGGUACAAUGGUUGCUCAGCUGAGGCCUGGGAACCUGGGGAGAGACACAGACAUUCAGGCCUGAUCCAGGAGGGUCGGGCUGGAUUCAAGAGGUUGGGAAGACUUCUGCAGAAUCAAGAUAUUUUAAACUAAGGCUUAAGACCUGCUGACACCAAGGCCUCAAUCUUGCCAUCUGUAAUUGCCUGUGACCUUAUAAAACCUGUCCUCCCCUCCGGGGUCGUGUUUGUCUCUUUCCUGUGAGCUGGCUGGAGGCUGGGCUGUCAUUCACCAUCCCCAGUAGCUAUCAGGUCUCUAUUUGGCAGUAGGCACACACGAAAUGCACUCUUUGCCUGCAAAGCAUCCUUGUCCUGGAGGAGAGAAAUGAAGGUAAAGAGCUGUCAAAAUGCAGUAUGGUAAGUGCUGAGUGCUGCAUGCUAAGUGCUGAGUGCUGCAUGCUAAGUGCUGAGUGCUGCAUGGUAAGUGCUGAGUGCUGUGUGGUAAGUGCUGAGUGCUGUGUGGUAAGUACUGAACGCAGCAUGGUAAGUGCUGAGUGCUGUGUGGAAAGUGCCGAGUGCAGAGUGGUAAGUGUUGAGUGCUGAGUGCUGUGUGGAAAGUGCUGAGUGCUGUGUGGAAAGUGCCGAGUGCAGAGUGGUAAGUGUUGAGUGCUGAGUGCUGUGUGGAAAGUGCUGAGUGCAGAGUGGUAAGUGUUGAGUGCUGAGUGCUGCAGGCCACCCAGGUGCCUUCCACUCAUGAGUGCCCCCACCCCCGUUUUACAGAAGAGGAAACUGAGACUCUGAGAGGGCGAGCUCCUGCCUAGCGACCCAGUGGUGAUGGGGAAGGGCUAGAGCUCCACACUGCACCCAUCAGAUCCCAAAGUCUUGCUCUUUCUGGAAUAAUUCAGGAGUGAGAGAAGUUUGGUGGGGCGAUGCCUGUGCAGGGAAGGAGGAGAGAGUGCAGGAUGGGGCAGGAAGAGCCUCCCACUGGGGUGCCCUCUGACAAAGCCUAGGAUCCCCCAACAGGGAGCUCCAGAACAAAGGUUGCCUUGGAAGGGUCAUGUGAGUGGCCCACCUCCCAGCUCCUCUAGGACAGAUAGGUGCCCAGAAAUGUGGGGUUCAUACCCCAGGCCUUGCGUGACUUUCCUGGGGCUGCCGUGAUGAGUUACCACAAACUCAGCAGCUUAAAACAAUGGAAAUUGAUUAUCUCAAAGUUCUGGAGGCCACAGGUCCGAGAUCAAGGUGUCAGUAAGGCUGUGCCCUCCACAGGCUCUAGGGGAGACCCCUCCUUGCCCCUUCCAGUUUCUGGCUUGAAGCUGCUUCACUGCAGCCUCUGUCCUCACACAGCCUUCAUCUCUGUGUGUCCAGAUCUCCCUCUCCUUAUAAGGACACUGGUCUUUGGAUUUAAGGCCCACCCAAAUCUAGUGGGACCCCAUCUGAACUAACCACAUCCGCAAAGACCCUAUUUUGAAAUAAGGUCACCUUCUGAGGUUUCGGUUGAUCCCAGCCUGGAGGGUGUUCCUAUCUUGUGUGGCGGUUUCAGAUCUAGACCCCAGCCAUGUCAGACUGGAAGGCAGCUCCUCCUCUGGGGCUCCCGAAAGAGACAUUCCUGGGUAAUCAUCGUCAGCAACCCACCCCCACGGCACCACACGGCAGACCCCAGAGCCCUGGCUGCGCCUCUCUGCUCAGCCAGCAGGUUGCCAUGGCAACGAGCCAGUAUAAGCAUCUCCAUCAAUAAGCCGGAGGCUUCCCAAGACUCCUCGGGAGCCUGGCCCCCGACACAGCCUUGGGGUGGGAAAGAAACCACAAGGUUCCAUACAGAG